CCGAGUGAGGGCCCUCUGGGUCCAACCUCCCACCCGUGUUUAACUGUACCUUGUUGCUUCGGCGGGCCCGCCUCACGGCCGCCGGGGGGCUCUCCCGCCCCCGGGCCCGCGCCCGCCGAAGCCACCUGUGAACGCUGUCUGAAGUAUGCAGUCUGAGACAACUAGCUAAAUUAGUUA
rnacentral:misc_RNA from 1 species